AAGUUUAUGAUCAAGAGUUUAACCGAGUUCCCACGGGUAUGACUAAGUUUGCCGUUUACUUGUAAUUUCUGUGAUGUUCCAAGUUCGUCUCCCGAGUUACUAAGUUCCUCUCCCGAGUUACUCUAGAGCCAACAACGUCUACCGACGUGUUGAAAAAUCAUCACAUGGUAAAAAUGACUUUGUUUUAUUUAACUUUAAGUGUGGAUUUAUUUUUUCAUUUUAGUUUUUCCACUUAAUGAAUUUCAUUGCAUCUGUCUUUUCUUUAAAAAGUGGUUAUCAUGCAUCUGCUUAUCUGAUGGUAGAUCUCAAAACAUGCCAUUGAGUGCAUUGCAUUGUCUAUUUUAUUGCCUGAAUUUAGGCUUGUGCUCCAUUUCUCAGCUGAA